GGGGGGGGGGGGGGGGGGGGGGGGGGCGGGGGGGGGGGGGGGGGGGGCGGGCAGCGGGGUGGUCGGAGGUUAGCGGCGGACGGUUGAGUAACACGUGGAUACCCUGCCUAUAAGACGGGGAUCGCUUCGGGAGACCGUAGCUAAUCCCGGCUACUAUUUUGACCCGUCUUUUUCAGCCGUGACCGACGGUGUUGCGCUACACUAUCAAUUGCUCCGCGCUGCAUUAGCUAGUUGGUAAGGUACCGGCUUACCAAGGCAACGAUGCAUAGCCGACCUGAGAGGGUGAUCGGCCACACUGGAACUGAGACACGGUCCAGACUCCUACGGGAGGCAGCAGUAGGGAAUCUUCCGCAAUGGGCGAAAGCCUGACGGAGCAACGCCGCGUGAGUGAUGAAGGUCUUCGGAUCGUAAAACUCUGUUAUUAGGGAAGAACAUAUGUGUAAGUAACUGUGCACAUCUUGACGGUACCUAAUCAGAAAGCCACGGCUAACUACGUG
rnacentral:rRNA from 1 species